CUUUGAAAUAGGUCACAC
rnacentral:snRNA from 1 species